rnacentral:rRNA from 1 species
AUUGAACGCUGGCGGCAUGCUUUACACAUGCAAGUCGAACGGCAGCGCGGGCUUCGGCCUGGCGGCGAGUGGCGAACGGGUGAGUAAUGCAUCGGAACGUGCCCAGUAGUGGGGGAUAGCCCAGCGAAAGCCGGAUUAAUACCGCAUACGACCUGAGGGUGAAAGCGGGGGACCGAAAGGCCUCGCGCUAUUGGAGCGGCCGAUGUCGGAUUAGCUAGUUGGUGGGGUAAAGGCUUACCAAGGCGACGAUCCGUAGCUGGCCUGAGAGGACGACCAGCCACACUGGGACUGAGACACGGCCCAGACUCCUACGGGAGGCAGCAGUGGGGAAUUUUGGACAAUGGGGGCAACCCUGAUCCAGCCAUGCCGCGUGCGGGAAGAAGGCCUUCGGGUUGUAAACCGCUUUUGUUCGGGAAGAAAUCCUCUGGGCUAAUACCCCGGGGGGAUGACGGUACCGGAAGAAUAAGCACCGGCUAACUACGUG